GACGAACGCUGGCGGCGUGCUUAACACAUGCAAGUCGAACGGAAAGGCCCUGCUUUUGUGGGGUGCUCGAGUGGCGAACGGGUGAGUAACACGUGAGUAACCUGCCCUUGACUUUGGGAUAACUUCAGGAAACUGGGGCUAAUACCGGAUAGGAGCUCCUGCUGCAUGGUGGGGGUUGGAAAGUUUCGGCGGUUGGGGAUGGACUCGCGGCUUAUCAGCUUGUUGGUGGGGUAGUGGCUUACCAAGGCUUUGACGGGUAGCCGGCCUGAGAGGGUGACCGGCCACAUUGGGACUGAGAUACGGCCCAGACUCCUACGGGAGGCAGCAGUGGGGAAUAUUGCACAAUGGGCGGAAGCCUGAUGCAGCAACGCCGCGUGCGGGAUGACGGCCUUCGGGUUGUAAACCGCUUUCGCCUGUGACGAAGCGUGAGUGACGGUAAUGGGUAAAGAAGCACCGGCUAACUACGUGCCAGCAGCCGCGGUGAUACGUAGGGUGCGAGCGUUGUCCGGAUUUAUUGGGCGUAAAGGGCUCGUAGGUGGUUGAUCGCGUCGGAAGUGUAAUCUUGGGGCUUAACCCUGAGCGUGCUUUCGAUACGGGUUGACUUGAGGAAGGUAGGGGAGAAUGGAAUUCCUGGUGGAGCGGUGGAAUGCGCAGAUAUCAGGAGGAACACCAGUGGCGAAGGCGGUUCUCUGGGCCUUUCCUGACGCUGAGGAGCGAAAGCGUGGGGAGCGAACAGGCUUAGAUACCCUGGUAGUCCACGCUGUAAACGGUGGGUACUAGGUGUGGGGUUCAUUCCACGGGUUCCGUGCCGUAGCUAACGCUUUAAGUACCCCGCCUGGGGAGUACGGCCGCAAGGCUAAAACUCAGAGGAAUUGACGGGGCCCCGCACAAGCGGCGGAGCAUGCGGAUUAAUUCGAUGCAACGCGUAGAACCUUACCUGGGUUUGACAUGGAUCGGGAGCGCUCAGAGAUGGGUGUGCCUCUUUUGGGGUCGGUUCACAGGUGGUGCAUGGCUGUCGUCAGCUCGUGUCGUGAGAUGUUGGGUUAAGUCCCGCAACGAGCGCAACCCUUGUUCACUGUUGCCAGCACGUUAUGGUGGGGACUCAGUGGAGACCGCCGGGGUCAACUCGGAGGAAGGUGGGGAUGACGUCAAGUCAUCAUGCCCCUUAUGUCCAGGGCUUCACGCAUGCUACAAUGGCUGGUACAGAGAGUGGCGAGCCUGUGAGGGUGAGCGAAUCUCGGAAAGCCGGUCUCAGUUCGGAUUGGGGUCUGCAACUCGACCUCAUGAAGUCGGAGUCGCUAGUAAUCGCAGAUCAGCAACGCUGCGGUGAAUACGUUCCCGGGGCU
rnacentral:rRNA from 1 species